UCCCUGACCUGGGUAAGAGUAAGAAGUAAGGCCUGUGUCUAUGUCUAUCCAUCUUAUAAUCCGAAUCCAAGCUAUACCUCCUAGCCCGGUGAAAAGUGCUAAAUCCGUGUAAUGAGAGAAGGCUCUUUCUUUUCUACUCGUUGUAGAGUAUGUCAUUACUGGUCUUUCUUUGGCUUUAGCUAUUCAGGAAGAUUCCCCCCAAGUUUAUAAUUUGCUAUUUUACUAGAUCGAGAUGCUU
rnacentral:lncRNA from 1 species